rnacentral:rRNA from 1 species
AUGAACGCUGGCGGCGUGCCUCAUACCUGCAAGUCGCGCGAACAGACGAGGAGCUUGCUCCUCUGACGUUAGCGGCGGACGGGUGAGUAACACGUGGAUAACCUACCUAUAAGACUGGGAUAACUUCGGGAAACCGGAGCUAAUACCGGAUAAUAUAUUGAACCGCAUGGUUCAAUAGUGAAAGACGGUUUUGCUGUCACUUAUAGAUGGAUCCGCGCCGCAUUAGCUAGUUGGUAAGGUAACGGCUUACCAAGGCGACGAUGCGUAGCCGACCUGAGAGGGUGAUCGGCCACACUGGAACUGAGACACGGUCCAGACUCCUACGGGAGGCAACAGUAGGGAAUCUUCCGCAAUGGGCGAAAGCCUGACGGAGCAACGCCGCGUGAGUGAUGAAGGUCUUCGGAUCGUAAAACUCUGUUAUUAGGGAAGAACAAAUGUGUAAGUAACUAUGCACGUCUUGACGGUACCUAAUCAGAAAGCCACGGCUAACUACGUG